CUGGGUGACGGUCGAUGACGUGGCGACUCACCUGGGAGUGACAAGGGACUCCAUCUACCGCUGGAUGACCAAGAAGGGGCUACCAGCACAUCAGGUGGGCAGACGAUGGCGCUUUCGUCUCAGCGAAGUCGAUGAGUGGGUCGAAAGCGGGAAAGCGGCAUCGGGUGAAGAGGACGAGCGAGCAGACGAGGAUCGGUAGGGGAGAUACAUACGUGGCGAGCCGGGCAUCCAAAUUGAAAUUGGCCGAAAGAGUGGCUGACAGCCCUGUCAGUGCGGUCGAUUUG
rnacentral:misc_RNA from 1 species